UACGAAGGGGGCUAGCGUUGCUCGGAAUCACUGGGCGUAAAGGGCGCGUAGGCGGCGUUUUAAGUCGGGGGUGAAAGCCUGUGGCUCAACCACAGAAUGGCCUUCGAUACUGGGACGCUUGAGUAUGGUAGAGGUUGGUGGAACUGCGAGUGUAGAGGUGAAAUUCGUAGAUAUCCGGAGGAACACCGGUGGCGAAGGCGGCUUCCUGGACCGACACUGACGCUGAGGCGCGAAAGCUAGGGGAGCAAACAGG
rnacentral:rRNA from 1 species